AAAAUCCGUCGACUUUCAAAAUCGUGAGGGUUCAAGUCCCU
rnacentral:tRNA from 1 species